rnacentral:rRNA from 1 species
GAUGAACGCUGGCUACAGGCUUAACACAUGCAAGUCGUGGGGAAACGGCAUUAUGUGCCUGCACAUUCUGGACGUCGACCGGCGCACGGGUGAGUAUCGCGUAUCCAACCUGCCCCUUACUUGGGGAUACCCCGUUGAAAGACGGCCUAAUACCCGAUGUGUUUCAUUGACGGCAUCCGAUAUGAAACAAAGGUUUUCCGGUAAGGGAUGGGGAUGCGUCUGAUUAGCUUGUUGGCGGGGCAACGGCCCACCAAGGCGACGAUCAGUAGGGGUUCUGAGAGGAAGGUCCCCCACAUUGGAACUGAGACACGGUCCAAACUCCUACGGGAGGCAGCAGUGAGGAAUAUUGGUCAAUGGACGCAAGUCUGAACCAGCCAAGUAGCGUGCAGGAUGACGGCCCUAUGGGUUGUAAACUGCUUUUAUGUGGGAAUAAAGUGGCGCACGUGUGCGCCAUUGCAUGUACCUCAUGAAUAAGGACCGGCUAAUUCCGUGCCAGCAGCCGCGGUAAUACGGAAGGUCCGGGCGUUAUCCGGAUUUAUUGGGUUUAAAGGGAGUGUAGGCGGUCUGUUAAGCGUGUUGUGAAAUUUAGGUGCUCAACAUUUAACUUGCAGCGCGAACUGUCAGACUUGAGUACACGCAGCGCAGGCGGAAUUCAUGGUGUAGCGGUGAAAUGCUUAGAUAUCAUGAGGAACUCCGAUCGCGAAGGCAGCCUGCGGGAGUGUUACUGACGCUUAAGCUCGAAGGUGCGGGUAUCGAACAGG